AGCGAACGCUGGCGGCAUGCCUAACACAUGCAAGUCGCACGGGGGGGCUUCGGCCUCCCAGUGGCGGACGGGUGAGGAACGCGUAGGGACCUGUCGAGGGGUGGGGGAUAACCGCGGGAAACUGCGGCUAAUACCGCAUGACGCCGCGGCGUGACAGCCGGGGCCAAAGGCGAAAGCCGCCCGCCGAGGGGCCUGCGUCCGAUUAGCUGGUUGGCGGGGUAGCGGCCCACCAAGGCGUCGAUCGGUAGCUGGUCUGAGAGGGUGAUCAGCCACACCGGGAAUGAGACACGGCCCGGACUCGUACGGGAGGCAGCAGUGGGGAAUAUUGGACAAUGGGCGCAAGCCUGAUCCAGCAAUGCCGCGUGGGUGAAGAAGGUCUUCGGAUUGUAAAGCCCUUUCGGCGGGGACGAUGGUGACGGUACCCGCAGAAGAAGCCCCGGCUAACUUCGUG
rnacentral:rRNA from 1 species